UCGCGCUAAGCGGGGAGCCAGCGGUGCCCUGAAUCUGCAAUCCGCUCAGCAGAGCUGAAUUCCCGCGCCGAGGCCCACUCUUGUGGAGCUGGCCGGAGUACGGAGCGACAACGAAGUGGGUCCUAUGCGACGGCGCGGCGUGAACCCCGCCAGGGCCGGAAGGCAGCAACGGUAAGCGCUUCCCGCCGUGCGCCGUAGGUGUCCUACUUCCAGCCACCGGCUCCGAUACCGUCCGUAAGGGCGUGGUCGAAGCGUGGGUGCGCGG
rnacentral:SRP_RNA from 1 species